CCGGCGGGACGACCCGACGGAGUGAUCGCAGGUGGGGACGGCCCC
rnacentral:ncRNA from 1 species